UGCAUGACAGAGUGAGGCCCUGUCUCCAAA
rnacentral:piRNA from 1 species